rnacentral:rRNA from 1 species
AUUGAACGCUGGCGGAAUGCUUUACACAUGCAAGUCGAACGGCAGCACGGACUUCGGUCUGGUGGCGAGUGGCGAACGGGUGAGUAAUGUAUCGGAACGUGCCCAGUCGUGGGGGAUAACGUAGUGAAAAUUACGCUAAUACCGCAUACGAUCUAUGGAUGAAAGCGGGGGAUCGCAAGACCUCGCGCGAUUGGAGCGGCCGAUAUCAGAUUAGGUAGUUGGUAGGGUAAAGGCCUACCAAGCCAACGAUCUGUAGCUGGUCUGAGAGGACGACCAGCCACACUGGAACUGAGACACGGUCCAGACUCCUACGGGAGGCAGCGGUGGGGAAUUUUGGACAAUGGGCGAAAGCCUGAUCCAGCCAUUCCGCGUGCAGGAUGAAGGCCCUCGGGUUGUAAACUGCUCUUGUACAGAACGAAAAGGUUUCUACUAAUACUAGGAGCUCAUGACGGUACUGUAAGAAUAAGCACCGGCUAACUACGUGCCAGCCGCCGCCGUAA